CGUUUCAAAGAUGGCCGCCGAGAGAAAUGACUUUUAAAGGGACUUUGUUUACAUUCAGCGUUUCCAGGUUCUACAUCCGAACGCCGGCUCGGUAUUGGUCGAGGGCGGCUGUUCAAGUGAGCAGGACGACGCAUGUGUGUGAUGCUGACACAGGAGCCGGCCACCUUACGGGUGACAUGAGGCUUGGCUGAACAGCUUAACAACCUGCAGAAACCAACAAUACCAGGGAACCGCAGGUCCAAGAUGCGGAGGCACAGAAAUGUCACAUCAAUGAGAGAGAGAGGAUAAACAAAAAUUCAUCAUCAGAAAAAGACCAGACAGACAUUCAAUGCGUGACUGGAGCCUGAGACGUCUGUCCAGCUGCCGCAGGAAGGAUAUUCUGUCAGAGAGAGAGAGAGAGAGAGAGUCUAUUGUAAUGAGAUACGGAAGUGACAUUGAUUCCAACUAAAUUAGUGAGAGAGACUAAUUACGAAAAAGUCUGAGAUUAUGCUUACAUUAUCAAUUUGAUUUUGCCUCUUGGCUUUCUUUUUCUUAAUCCAUCAGAUCUUGAGUAAAGAGCCUUGCUGACUAUUGCUCAUACUAUUGGUUAGGGAUUUGUAAAUAUUAAAUUUUGACAAGUAAAUUAUCCUGCACCAUUUGUGCUACGGACAUGACUGAUACCUCAAAUUAAACUUUUUUUUACUGAGUA